rnacentral:lncRNA from 1 species
AGAAGGGUUUUUGUUUGCUGCUCUCUCUCUCCUUCUCGUUUUUGGACGUGCUCGUGGUGGAGGACGCGGUUCGAGCUCGGGUGAAUUUCGACGUUGCUCCAGAGGGCCGUUCGAGCGUGGGGCGUUGCGGUUGCGCCGUUGGAGGCCGGGCGAGCGCGUGGAUUCCCUCCCUUCGACUUCUCGCUGUGAUUGGACAAAUUUUUCGAGGUGGGUUAAUGUUACCGAAAUCGUCGAACUACCUCCUAAGUCCUAGCGUUGUUAUCAUGUUCAUUGUUUUGGUUUUAAUUGCUAGUAUCCGAAUUCAUAGAAUUUGUAUGUUAUAGCAUAAAAUCUAAAUUUGGAGUUAAGCUAGUGAUCGUAUGCAUGUUGUACUUAGAAAUUGACUUAGGAGAAAACCUUUAAACCCUACACUGUCAUUUUUCUGAAAAGUUAUCAGAUUUAGCUUUAGGAGCUGUGGUUCUUUUGUAUCGCCGCUGUUAGAAUGCGGUGGAUACUCAGAUUAGUGUAGGAUGAGUUUAUACUUGUGCUGAGAUGCCGAGCUCGUUUUACAGUAGGGUGUAGACCGGUUCGUACUGUUUGGUGCCGUCGUGGUAGACGGUGCACCCAGAUUUCUGUAUUUUGCAUUAGAUUGUGCCAAGAGCAUGUGAGACUUGGUUGUUAGACCAAUUAGAUCCAUUUACAUUGAUUAUAGCCUGUGAGAGAGCCUGAUUGAGAUCGACAGAAACAUGCUUGCAUACUUGGUUGGGUCGCGCCCACGAGUGCCUCUCCGGAGUCUGGCUACUUUGUUUUACGUUGAUGUCGUAGUUGUUCGGUUUAGACUUGUUCUCUACUGGCAGCCCUUGGAGUGGUGUUCGGUGUAGUUUCGACAGGCGGGACGGGUGUAUCACAGUUCCUGGUGAGAUUAGGUCAGAGAUUGCAUUUUUUCAUUACAUCUACGGAUAGUCAGUGUUGGUUAGCGAUAAUAUAGUGGCAUAUAGUUGUAGGAUUUUUACAUUUUCUUACUAUCUCUUGCACACUUUCCUGUAGACUUGUGCGUGAGCCGUUGAGGUCGGUGACGGUACCCACUGAGGAUUACUCAAUUUUAUAGUAGUUCUCACAUCCAGUUGUUGACCCGUUUUUGCAGAGCCUUCUUCUGCGACUGCUGCUGUCGCUGAUUCAGACCGUGGGAAGAGAGUCGCGAGCUAGAUUCCUACCCGUCUGACCAUGGGAAGGGAGUCGCGAGGUAGAUCUCUACCCGCCUCGUUGUCGUGCUAGAGGAAUACCUUCGACAGAUAAUUUUGGGCUUUUUUUAUACAUACUGUGAUGUUGUUGGGGUACACGUUGGAGCGAAUUGUGUUGUAGAUAUUUUGUAUGUAUAGUAUGUUUGUUUUCAGUUUAGCAGCUCUUUAUCUUGUGGUUAUAGCUUGGCUUAUUUACAGGUACAGCUAUCGUUUCGUAUAUAGGAAAAAUUUCUAUGUAUAUGAUAGGUUGUUGGCAUGCUCGAAAAACUAUGGUAAUCUGGGGCGUGACACGCUGGCCGUUGCCCAUAUUUGUAGAGAUAUGUAUGAAAUUAAUAUUUUUUAAAAAAUAUAUAGCUCAGAGACAAAGAUAUAUUACCCAAAAAAGAAAAACAAAAAAAAAA